rnacentral:rRNA from 1 species
UACGUAGGGUGCGAGCGUUAAUCGGAGUUACUGGGCGUAAAGCGUGCGCAGGCGGUUCGUUGUGUCGGUGGUGAAAGCCCCGGGCUCAACCUGGGAAUGGCCAUGGAAACUGGCGAACUGGAGUGUGGCAGAGGGGGGUGGAAUUCCGCGUGUAGCAGUGAAAUGCGUAGAGAUGCGGAGGAACACCGAUGGCGAAGGCAGCCCCCUGGGCUAGCACUGACGCUCAGGCACGAAAGCGUGGGGAGCAAACAGG